GCCAGCAUGGUGUAAUGGUUUGAGUGUUGGACUAUGGCUCUGGAGACCAGGGUUCAAUUCCCAUUUGGCC